rnacentral:rRNA from 1 species
CAAAUGAAUUGACGGGGGCCCGCACAAGCGGUGGAGCAUGUGGUUUAAUUCGAUGCAACGCGAAGAACCUUACCUGGUCUUGACAUCCACAGAACUUUCCAGAGAUGGAUUGGUGCCUUCGGGAACUGUGAGACAGGUGCUGCAUGGCUGUCGUCAGCUCGUGUUGUGAAAUGUUGGGUUAAGUCCCGCAACGAGCGCAACCCUUAUCCUUUGUUGC